CAGGGAAAGAAUUGCAGAGAUGCAAGAUGAAAUGCAGAGAAAAGAGACCUCCUACCAAAAGCAGAAGGCCGUUUACAAGAAAAAGGCUCAGGACAACUGGCUCAGGGCUUGUGUUGUGGAGAGGACAGAAGCCAAACAAAUCAGUGAGGACAACUUCUUGAACAGAGGGUGGCCAAUAAUGCAAAGUCAGAGGAUGCCACAGGA